rnacentral:rRNA from 1 species
GUGAGGAAUAUUGCACAAUGAGCGAAAGCUAGAUGCAGCAACGCCGCGUGGACGAUGAAGGCCUUCGGGUCGUAAAGUCCUUUUCAGAGGGACGAGUGAGGACGGUACCUCUGGAAUAAGUCACGGCUAACUACGUGCCAGCAGCCGCGGUAAAACGUAGGUGGCAAGCGUUAUCCGGAUUCACUGGGCGUAAAGCGCCUGCAGGCGGUCUUGUAAGUGGGAUGUGAAAUCUCCCGGCUUAACUGGGAGGGGUCAUUCCAUACUGCGGGACUGGAGGGCAGAAGAGGGAAGUGGAAUUCCCGGUGUAGUGGUGAAAUGCGUAGAUAUCGGGAGGAACACCAGUGGCGAAGGCGACUUCCUGGUCUGCUUCUGACGCUAAGAGGCGAAAGCUAGGGGAGCGAACGGGAUUAGAAACCCCAGUAGUCC